AUUGAACGCUGGCGGCAGGCCUAACACAUGCAAGUCGAGCGGAUGAAGGGAGCUUGCUCCUGGAUUCAGCGGCGGACGGGUGAGUAAUGCCUAGGAAUCUGCCUGGUAGUGGGGGAUAACGUCCGGAAACGGGCGCUAAUACCGCAUACGUCCUGAGGGAGAAAGUGGGGGAUCUUCGGACCUCACGCUAUCAGAUGAGCCUAGGUCGGAUUAGCUAGUUGGUGGGGUAAAGGCCUACCAAGGCGACGAUCCGUAACUGGUCUGAGAGGAUGAUCAGUCACACUGACAGAGAGCCACGGUCCCGCCUCCUGCGGGAGGCCGCAGGGGGAAAUAUUGGACAAUGGGCGAAAGCCUGAUCCACCCGUGCCGUGUGUGUAAAGAGGGUCUUCGUAUUGAAAAGCUCUUUAAUUGGGGAGAAAGGACAUUAAUUUAAUCCCUUGUUUUUUUGACGUUCCCAAAAAAAAAAGCCCCGCCUCACUUCGUC
rnacentral:rRNA from 1 species